UACGUAGGAGGCAAGCGUUUGUCCGGAAUUACUGGGCGUAAAGCGCGUGUAGGUGGUGGGACAAGUCUGCUGUGAAAGCGCCUGGCUUAACCGGGCGAGGUCGGCGGAAACUGUCCGACUCGAGGACGGUAGAGGGGGGUGGAAUUCCCGGUGUAGUGGUGAAAUGCGUUAGAGAGUCGGGAGGAACACCUGUGGCGAAGGCGGCCCCCCUGGGCCGGCCCUGACACUUGAGACGCGAAGGCGUGGGGAGCGAACGGG
rnacentral:rRNA from 1 species